rnacentral:rRNA from 1 species
AAAUGAAGAUUUUGUGACUGAGUGGCGGACGGGUGAGUAACGCGUGAGCAACCUGCCCUCCACAGGGGGAUAACGCACCGAAAGGUGCACUAAUACCGCAUAAGACCACGUUUCUGACAUGGGAAUGAGGUCAAAGGAGCAAUCCGGUGGAAGAUGGGCUCGCGUCUGAUUAGCUAGUUGGUGAGGUAACGGCCCACCAAGGCGACGAUCAGUAGCCGACCUGAGAGGGUGAUCGGCCACAUUGGAACUGAGACACGGCCCAGACUCC